rnacentral:rRNA from 1 species
GAUGAACGCUGGCGGCGUGCUUAACACAUGCAAGUCGAACGAAGCACUUUAUUUGAUUUCCUUCGGGACUGAUUAUUUUGUGACUGAGUGGCGGACGGGUGAGUAACGCGUGGGUAACCUGCCUUGUACAGGGGGAUAACAGUUGGAAACGGCUGCUAAUACCGCAUAAGCGCACAGCAUCGCAUGAUGCAGUGUGAAAGACUCCGGUGGUAUAAGAUGGACCCGCGUUGGAUUAGCUAGUUGGUGAGGUAACGGCCCACCAAGGCGACGAUCCAUAGCCGACCUGAGAGGGUGACCGGCCACAUUGGGACUGAGACACGGCCCAAACUCCUACGGGAGGCAGCAGUGGGGAAUAUUGCACAAUGGGCGAAAGCCUGAUGCAGCGACGCCGCGUGAGCGAAGAAGUAUUUCGGUAUGUAAAGCUCUAUCAGCAGGGAAGAUAAUGACGGUACCUGACUAAGAAGCACCGGCUAAAUACGUG